rnacentral:rRNA from 1 species
GUCUUACCAUGCUGUCGACGAUGAAGCCCAGCUUGCUGGGUGGAUUAGUGGCGAACGGGUGAGUAACACGUGAGUAACCUGCCCCCGACUCUGGGAUAAGCCCGGGAAACUGGGUCUAAUACCGGAUAUGACCUCGCACCGCAUGGUGCGGGGUGGAAAGAUUUAUCGGUGGGGGAUGGACUCGCGGCCUAUCAGCUUGUUGGUGAGGUAAUGGCUCACCAAGGCGACGACGGGUUAGCCGGCCUGNAGAGGGUGACCGGCUCACACUGGGGACUGGAGUACACGGCCCAGACUUCCUUACGGGGGAGGGCAGCCAGAUGGGGAAUUAUUGGCACCAAAUGGGGGCGGCAAAGCCCUGGAUGGCAAGCCGGACGGCCGGCCGG